GGAUGAACGCUAGCGGCAGGCUUCAUACAUGCAAGUCGAGGGGCAGCAUAAAUUACUUGUAAUUUGAUGGCGACCGGCGAACGGGUGCGUAACGCGUAUGCAACUUACCUUUUACUAGAGAAUAGCCAAGAGAAAUUUUGAUUAAUGCUCUAUGUUCUUAUUUACUCGCAUGAGUAAAUAAGCAAAGCUCCGGCGGUAAAAGAUGGGCAUGCGUCCUAUUAGCUUGUAGGUGAGGUAAUGGCUCACCUAAGCUCCGAUAGGUAGGGGUCCUGAGAGGGAGAUCCCCCACACUGGUACUGAGACACGGACCAGACUUCUACGGAAGGCAGCAGUGAGGAAUAUUGGACAAUGGAGGAAACUCUGAUCCAGCCAUGCCGCGUGCAGGAUGAAUGCCCUAUGGGUUGUAAACUGCUUUUAUACAGGAAGAAACAUUUCCACGUGUGGAAACUUGACGGUACUGUAAGAAUAAGGAUCGGCUAACUCCGUGCCAGCAGCCGCGGUAAUACGGAGGAUCCAAGCGUUAUCCGGAAUCAUUGGGUUUAAAGGGUUCGUAGGUGGAUAAUUAAGUCAGAGGUGAAAUCCUGCAGCUCAACUGUAGAAUUGCCUUUGAUACUGGUUAUCUUGAGUACAAAUGAAGUAGGCGGAAUGAGUCAUGUAGCGGUGAAAUGCAUAGAUAUGACUCAGAACACCAAUUGCGAAGGCAGCUUACUAACAUGUAACUGACGCUGAGGGACGAAAGCGUGGGGAGCGAACAGGAUUAGAUACCCUGGUAGUCCACGCCGUAAACGAUCAUCACUCGCUGUUGGCGAUAUACAGUCAGCGGCCAAGCGAAAGUAUUAAGUGAUGCACCUGGGGAGUACGCCGGCAACGGUGAAACUCAAAGGAAUUGACGGGGGCCCGCACAAGCGGUGGAGCAUGUGGUUUAAUUCGAUCAUACGCGAGGAACCUUACCAGGGCUUAAAUGUAGUUUGACCGGUCUGGAAACAGACCUUUUCCUUCGGGCAAUUUGCAAGGUGCUGCAUGGUUGUCGUCAGCUCGUGCCGUGAGGUGUCAGGUUAAGUCCUAUAACGAGCGCAACCCCUACCGUUAGUUGCCAGCGAGUCAAGUCGGGGACUCUAACGGGACUGCCGGUGCAAACCGUGAGGAAGGUGGGGAUGACGUCAAAUCAUCACCGCCCUUACGUCCUGGGCCACACACGUGCUACAAUGGCCGGUACAGAGAGCAGCCAUGUUGCAAACAAGGAGCGAAUCUAUAAAACCGGUCACAGUUCGGAUCGGGGUCUGCAACUCGACCCCGUGAAGCUGGAAUCGCUAGUAAUCGGAUAUCAGCCAUGAUCCGGUGAAUACGUUCCCGGGCCUUGUACACACCGCCC
rnacentral:rRNA from 1 species